rnacentral:misc_RNA from 1 species
AGUGCAGUGAUCAUAAACCAAAGCUGAACAUGGAGCUCAGUGUGGUUUAUUGUAGAGG